rnacentral:rRNA from 1 species
UACGUAGGGGGCUAGCGUUGUCCGGAAUCAUUGGGCGUAAAGCGCGCGUAGGCGGCCAGAUAAGUCCGGUGUGAAAGUCACAGGCUCAACCUGUGAAUGCCGCUGGAAACUGUCUGGCUAGAGUCCGGAAGGGGCGAGUGGAAUUCCUGGUGUAGCGGUGAAAUGCGCAGAUAUCAGGAGGAACACCAAUGGCGAAGGCAGCUCGCUGGGGCGGUACUGACGCUGAGGCGCGAAAGCGUGGGGAGCGAACAGG